rnacentral:rRNA from 1 species
AGUGAACGCUGGCGGUAGGCCUAACACAUGCAAGUCGAACGGCAGCACAGUAAGAGCUUGCUCUUACGGGUGGCGAGUGGUGGACGGGUGAGGAAUACAUCGGAAUCUACUUUUUCGUGGGGGUUAACGUAGGGAAACUUACGCUAAUACCGCAUACGACCUACGGGUGAAAGCAGGGGAUCUUCGGACCUUGCGCGAUUGAAUGAGCCGAUGUCGGAUUAGCUAGUUGGCGGGGUAAUGGCCCACCAAGGCGACGAUCCGUAGCUGGUCUGAGAGGAUGAUCAGCCACACGGGAACUGAGACACGGUCCAGACUCCUACGGGAGGCAGCAGUGGGGAAUAUUGGACAAUGGGCGCAAGCCUGAUCCAGCCAUACCGCGUGGGUGAAGAAGGCCUUCGGGUUGUAAAGCCCUUUUGUUGGGAAAGAAAAGCAGCAGGUUAAGACCCCGCUGUUCUGACGGUACCCAAAGAAUAAGCACCGGCUAACUUCGUG